rnacentral:rRNA from 1 species
UACGUAGGAGGCAAGCGUUGUCCGGAAUUACUGGGCGUAAAGCGCGUGUAGGCGGUCUGAAUAGUCUGCUGUGAAGGCGCCUGGCUUAACCGGGCGAGGUCGGCGGAAACUCUCAGACUGGAGGCCGGUAGAGGGGGGUGGAAUUCCCGGUGUAGUGGUGAAAUGCGUAGAGAUCGGGAGGAACACCUGUGGCGAAGGCGGCCCCCUGGGCCGCGCCUGACGCUGAGACGCGAAGGCUAGGGGGAGCGAACGG